rnacentral:rRNA from 1 species
GCUUACGGCCAUACCACCCUGAACACGCCCGAUCUCGUCCGAUCUCGGAAGCUAAGCAGGGCCGGGCCUGGUUAGUACUUGGAUGGGAGACCGCCUGGGAAUACCAGGUGCUGUAAGCU